rnacentral:rRNA from 1 species
AGAGCUUGCUCUGAUUUGAUUUUAUCUGACAAAGAGUGGCGAACGGGUGAGUAACACGUGGGUAACCUACCUCUUAGCAGGGGAUAACAUUUGGAAACAAGUGCUAAUACCGUAUAAUACUAACAACCGCAUGGCUGUUAAUUGAAAGAUGGUUCUGCUAUCACUAAGAGAUGGACCCGCGGUGCAUUAGCUAGUUGGUAAGGUAAUGGCUUACCAAGGCGAUGAUGCGUAGCCGAGUUGAGAGGCUGAUCGGCCACAAUGGGACUGAGACACGGCCCAUACUCCUACGGGAGGCAGCAGUAGGGAAUCUUCCACAAUGGGCGCAAGCCUGAUGGAGCAACGCCGCGUGUGUGAUGAAGGGUUUCGGCUCGUAAAACACUGUUAUAAGAGAAGAACGACACUGAGAGUAACUGUUCAGUGUGUGACGGUAUCUUAUCAGAAAGGAACGGCUAAAUACGCGCCAGCAGCCGCGGUAAUACGUAUGUUCCAAGCGUUAUCCGGAUUUAUUGGGCGUAAAGCGAGCGCAGACGGUUAUUUAAGUCUGAAGUGAAAGCCCUCAGCUCAACUGAGGAAGGGCUUUGGAAACUGGAUAACUUGAGUGCAGUAGAGGAAAGUGGAACUCCAUGUGUAGCGGUGAAAUGCGUAGAUAUAUGGAAGAACACCGGUGGCGAAAGCGGCUUUCUGGACUGUAACUGACGUUGAGGCUCGAAAGUGUGGGUAGCAAACAGGAUUAGAUACCCUGGUAGUCCACACCGUANACGAUGAGUGCUAGAUGUUCGAGGGUUUCCGCCCUUGAGUGUCGCAGCUAACGCAUUAAGCACUC